UUAAAAAGUCUUAAUUUUCACUUGGUCAAAUCUGUAGACACCCUGGGAAUCCAAGAUUUUUACUAGAUUUUCUGAAAGUUUUUUUUCUUUUUUUAUCCACAGGACUCGGACACCAUGGCAGACUUAAGCCAGGUUCCCGUGGGGAUAUUGACAGUUGUUCCUGAAGCAAGUCAGCAGCCAGAUCCAAACGCUCUACAUCUGGAACCAUCCAGCAUUGGCAUCAUUCUGGAGGGUACAGUUGUUAUGGAUGACAUUGAAAGCCAUGACCAAGCAGUUUGCCUUAUCUUUGGACUAAUCUACGCCCUUCAUCUUGAUUAUCCAAAACCACUCAAAAACACCUUUGACUUCAUUCAGAGAGUGCUGCUCAGUCUCGGUGUAGGGAACCUCAGGCCAAAACUUCAGAGCUUGAAAAAUGCACUUUUGCUGUAGAGGCUCACAGAUGCACACAGCUGCAAGUAACAGAUAAAUAUGCUGCAGCAUAAACACUUGGUUUGACUUUUAGCUAAACGAUAUUCAGGUUGUACAGUAAGGUUUGUAAUGACCUACAUGUUUUACUUCCAAGGUGUAGGUUUUAUAUAGUGUUUAAAUAUUUCUGGGGCAUUUCUUACUUAAAGCUGUGAUAAAAGACAAAUAUGCUAAGACUUGACUGUUAGUUUUUCCAGGUUCUACAGUAAGAUUUGUAGUGACCUACAUGUUUUACUCCGCAGUUGUAUUCUUUUAUAUAUUGUUCUAAUAUCUGGGGUAUUAUUCACUUAAGGUUUAUCAGAAAACCAAACAAAAAAGCUAAGUUUAAAUGACAUCUGUAUUAUCAUAAAGCAAUGUGUCAGCGUGUUUUGACAAUUUUCUGAUUUGUGAGAUUUAAACCCCUAAGUAAGGCAAAGUUAUUACAUUUUAUAUGGCUUUAUGUUAUAAAGCUUGGUCUUUUGUUAAAAUGCUAUGUUAAAAAAUAAACAUUGCUUCUUGUGAACUUA